rnacentral:lncRNA from 1 species
AGAUUCCAGAGGCUUCUUUUCUGUGGGCGUGGCCAAGGCAGCGGGGGUUUAUGACAAAGUUGAGCGACCUCAUGUCACUCAAACCAGCUGUAUUAAGGAAGGUGCAAGCUUUUGGGAUUUCUGUUUGGAUUUAGUUUAGGUUCAAAAGAGCACGCACAGAUCCUGAGUGUUGUCAAGCACCCGUGACUGGGAAACGGAGGCGUCCGAUCCGUAUUGGAGUCAAUUCGCCACUUAAUUGAGCACAGCACGAAACCCUGAAGAUAAAGGAUGAUGUUGGUAAAUAUUUUCAUCAGACUUUGUGAGAAUUCAGAUUUCUAAUAAAAUUAAUUUGAGAAAAAUCAAUGACCCUAUGAGUUUAAGAGGACUUUCAUUAUUCCAAGAACACAGCCUCGAAGGGAAGGGCCAUAUUUGUGGGCCUGUCUAACAAUUAAGAGUGACCACAUGGAAUGGGGGAUGAAAGGGUUAAAGAAGAACAAAUAUUGAACACAGCUUUUCUAUGAACAAACUGCAGGCAGCUGCUGCUUUGCAAGGGGAACUUCUUGGCUGCCAUUUCUGGAUGUCAAGGCUGCAGAUACACUGGUCAGGACCCUGGGUAGAGAGAGAUGCGUCAGAAUGCGGCUCCUUUCAGAAAGGCUUCUCCGGAGGUCAGCACUCGGGCAAAAGGCUGUGUGUGAUGUGUUUGGGAACACAAAGGUUGGUGAGGUCAGCUGACUACUAGAAGACAGAUCUAUUUGAAGAUUUUUGUGGUGGUCUUUACUACUCCAGAGAUUUACAGCUGAUGAAAAAUGGAGAAGUACAUGACCCUACCCUGCUGUUGGACAUGCUACCCAAGGAUCAUGACUGACAACUUGUCAACAUCACUAUUGCUUAUUUAAUAAAUGUGCAGUACUACUUCAA